UUUGUACUCCCUCCGUUCCGAAUUACUUGUCUUGGAUUUGUCUAGAUAUAGAUGUAUCUAGACUUAUUUUAGUGCUAAAUACUUCCGUAUCUAGACAAAUCUAAGAUAAAUAAUUUGGAACGAAGGGAGUAGUAA
rnacentral:pre_miRNA from 1 species